UAUCUUCACUAGAUGAAUGUAGCCGCUUGAAGACGUAUAAGGUGAAGAGUUGCUUUUACACAAGAUCAAGACAUGUUGAAAACAAGGACAAUGAAGAAGUUUUGAAGCUUAGUCAUUGUAGCUCUUUAUAGUCCUUAUUAAGAUCUCUUUCUUGUUGUUUUUGCUCCUCUAUUUUGAGGCUUUAAGUCUAAGAGCUCAUGUAACUGUUGGUUGCAUAUAUCCCAAGCAGAUAAGAGGCUGGAUUUUAACUUUAGGUUUGGCUAAUUGACGCUCAACAUGGUCUGGCUCGUUCGUUCCUAGCACAUUUCUGUGCGGCAAAGUACGGUAAAGUUAGUUUUGAUUUUAAGGACA
rnacentral:lncRNA from 1 species